CAUAACCAUUUUGUUCAUUCUUUGCGAUUGGUUGUAUGGUUCAAGUGCAUAUUAUAUUUCAGAAGCUUGUCACCUCAAUCUAUCGUUUGAUCUUGUAGUUUAGGUAUCAUGAGGAUAAUAAUGUAAAAUACAUAGUGUUGGUGUGUAAUGCACAAAUUCGUAAUCGUAUUUUUUUCAUUUGUUGAAACUUCUGUAUGUAUGUUUCCUUAGCUACUAAUGCACUAAACAUUUUCACAUAAAAAUAAAAAAAACAAAAAGAAGUGUAUUGUUGACCAUGAAAAUUUUCCAAUGGUAGAGAAUGCAAUUCUAUAAGCGUGUAACAUUGUGACACACAUAUCGGUUGUCCAAAACUCCAAGUGGAUCUCUUUUACUUUCCAUUUUUUAAAACCUUUUUUGGGCGUCACCUUUCAUAAUUUAUUUGAUAUACAAAUAUUCUUUUUGGGCGUCAAAGUAUUGCAAGUUUUAAACGGUCUAUAAGAAAAGUUAUGAUAGCGUCGGUAUCAUUCACCCAAAGACAGUUUAGCUAGAUGCCAUGAAUGCAAUAUAUAGAAGAAAAAAGCGUUUGAAAAUGUCAUGAAUACUCUGAUGCAACGGAUAGAAAAGUUCAUGGCGUUCAUGCUAUUCUCUUUACUUACAAAUACUCACCACUUAACGUUUGAUGUGUAUUUUACAAUGCAAAUGCUCUAAGCAUAUAUUUUUCUUUUUUCUUUUUUUUGGUUUUACUCUAAAGCAUAUCUAAAACACACGUUUCUACAAUUAGACAGCUCAAAACGCAAUACUAGAAGACACCCUAGUUUCCAUUUAGACGUAGCUUCUGGUCCAUAUUGAGUUUGUAUAUAUGUGAUGAUAAUGCCACUCUCUCUUGCUUGGUGGGA
rnacentral:lncRNA from 1 species